AUCUGCAACACACAGAAUUCACUGUUUAGGAUUUGUAUACAGUUAAAAGCACCAUGAGCAACCACACAGGUGACUUGUCCCCUGCCUGCCCUGGAAGGACACUGACAGCACAUCAGCUCCUCCUGAGAGGGCUUUGAUCAUCCACUCUGGGCUUCUGGAAUGGAUUCUCAUGUUGCCACAGGUCAUUGUCAACUGUUCCUGCCAAUUGCCUUAGUACAUAAAUACAUCACAGCCCAUGAAGGAAAACAAAACGCAAGCUCACAGCUAAGAGUCCCCUUUACCAUCACCACUAAUACCUGUAUCCCAGCACAGAUGGACGGUUUUUACUCAGGUCUUUUCUCACUCGUUUUAUGUAUUCCAGUAUUAAAUAAUUCACACUCAAGUAUCACUUUUCUAACUAGCUGCUAGUUAUAGGUCCACUCCCCUUGCUUGUCAUGUCUUUACAAUGACUUGCUGCGGUUGUCUUUCUCCUUCACACUUUCAUGCCAUUUCUCUGUUUCCCUUCUCCAACAGACUCUAUAACUGACCUCAGACUUCCCCUUUCCUCCAUGUAAGCAACCCCCCCCCCCAUCCCUCACAUCUGGCCUGAAAUAUCCUCAAUAGCCCUCUCCAGUUAUUAAGAAGAUUCAACUUUUAGGUGUGAGAAUAAUGCAGCCGGAUCAGACCCAGAAUUCUUUAGGGCAGAACCUAUACACAGUCAGACCCAGAAUGCAUUUUGGCAGAACCUAAACAUGGUCAGACCUAGAAUGCAUUAGGGCAGAACCUAUACUCAGACUCCAGAGCAGCCCUGCCUUCGAGGCUGUUUAUAGCAUUCCCUCAUCCAGUGGAGACCUCCAGAGCAGCCCUGCCUUCGAGGCUGUUUAUAGCAUUCCCUCAUCCAGUGGAGACCGAGGUUCUGUGAUUAAUGCAGUUCAAACCCACUUGACUUUCACCCACAGCAGUAACGUAUUUUCCAUCACAGUUUAUACCCGUACCCACAUGUGCAAGACAGAAAUAAACUCUAUGAAGUACUUCUUCCCUA